rnacentral:sRNA from 1 species
GAACAACAGUCUGCUGCUGUUGUUGCUGCUGCUGUUGGAGCAGAUUGUUGUUGGCAGCUUGAGCCAUCAGCUGCCGCUGAUGCAGCUGUGCCUGUUGCAGUGCAAACUGCUGCAGCUGUUGCUUCUGUUGCACUGCCUGCUGCUGCUGCUGCUCCAAUUGCUGCUGUUGCUGCUGGGCAAGCAAGUUGGGCGACAAAAACUGCUGGGUUC